rnacentral:rRNA from 1 species
AGGACGAACGCUGGCGGCGUGCUUAACACAUGCAAGUCGAACGCGUGUAGCAAUACACGAGUGGCGCACGGGUGAGUAACGCGUGGAUAUCUGCCUUUUGGUUCGGAAUAACCCCGGGAAACUGGGGCUAAUACCGGAUGGUUCCUACGGGAUAAAGAUUUAUCGCCAAAAGAUGAGUCCGCGUCCGAUUAGCUAGUUGGUGGGGUAAUGGCCUACCAAGGCGACGAUCGGUAGCUGGUCUGAGAGGACGAUCAGCCACACUGGGACUGAGACACGGCCCAGACUCCUACGGGAGGCAGCAGUGGGGAAUAUUGGACAAUGGGGGCAACCCUGAUCCAGCCAUGCCGCGUGAGUGAUGAAGGCCUUCGGGUUGUAAAGCUCUUUUGGCGGGACGAUGAUGACGGUACCCGCAGAAUAAGCCCCGGCUAACUUCGUGCCAGCAGCCGC